rnacentral:rRNA from 1 species
AAAUCUUACCAGGUCCGGACACACUGAGGAUUGACAGGAAGUAUCGUCUUUUGAAAUCUUUAAGCACAUGUCGUUUCUAAUGACAUCUUUUAGAUGAAUGAUUCGUGUAAAUAUGCUAGUUCUUUCAUGAUUAUGUGAUAGGUGGUGCAUGGCCGUUCUUAGUUCGUGGAGUGAUCUGUCUGCUUAAUUGCGUUUCACUAUGGCCCCAAAGUUAGCAAGUUAUCCAAUCAUGACCUUCGUCGACCCCUCACCUUUGAGUGCGCGUCCUAGCUUAGAGUACAUGGUGUAAAUGGACUUGUUUUGGGUACCCAGAAAGCAACGAACGUGACCGCAACGUCUUGUUGUCUCUCUUUUGACAGUUAUGGGUUAUCCCAGUCAUGUGUUUAUACUUUUAUGUGUAAAUACGUACGACACAGAGACUAGAUACCAAACUAGGCGUACCGCUGUAUCAUUUCUUUAAACCAGAGGAAGGUUGCGGCAAUAACAGGUCUG